ACAGUAAGGUGGGAAAUAGAUUACAGUAAGGGGGGAAAUAGAUUACAGUAAGGUGGGAAAUAGAUUACAGUAAGGGGGAAAUAGAUUACAGUAAGGUGGGAAAUAGAUUACAGUAAGGUGGGAAAUAGAUUACAGUAAGGGGGAAAUAGGUUACAGUAAGGGGGAAAUAGGUUACAGUAAGGGGGAAAUAGAUUACAGUAAGGGGGAAAUAGAUUACAGUAAGGUGGGAAAUAGAUUACAGUAAGGUGGGAAAUAGAUUACAGUAAGGUGGGAAAUAGAUUACAGUAAGGGGGAAAUAGAUUACAGUAAGGUGGGAAAUAGAUUACAGUAAGGGGGAAAUAGGUUACAGUAAGGUGGGAAAUAGAUUACAGUAAGGGGGAAAUAGAUUACAGUAAGGGGGAAAUAGAUUACAGUAAGGUGGGAAAUAGAUUACAGUAAGGUGGGAAAUAGAUUACAGUAAGGUGGGAA